rnacentral:rRNA from 1 species
CCUACGGGAGGCAGCAGUGAGGAAUAUUGGUCAAUGGCCGGAAGGCUGAACCAGCCAUGCCGCGUGAAGGUCAGUGCCCUAUGGGCGUUAAACUUCUUUUGUGCGGGAGCAAUAAUGGUCACGUGUGGCCAGACGAGAGUACCGUACGAAUAAGCAUCGGCUAACUCCGUGCCAGCAGCCGCGGUAACACGGGGGAUGCAAGCGUUAUCUGGAUCUAUUGGGUUUAAAGGGUGCGUAGGCUGUGAGGUAAGUCAGCGGUGAAAUGCCCCCGCUCAACGGGGUGAAGUGCCAUUGAUACUGCCUUGCUGGAAUGCGAAUGCCGUGGGAGGAAUGUGUGGUGUAGCGGUGAAAUGCAUAGAUAUCACACAGAACACCGAUUGCGAAGGCAGCUCACGGAUCCGCGAUUGACGCUGAUGCACGAAAGCGUGGGUAUCAAACAGGAUUAGAUACCCGGGUAGUC